AACCAUUCUCACCUGCGGCUAGACCUGCGGAAGGAUCAUCAUCGAAUUCAUAUCCCUCCACGGGACCCAUGAUAAACCCUUCUGUGCAUCGUAAACCGUUCACUUUGGCUGGUUUUGGUGGUGAGCGUGAGCUCGUUUCCAACCUCGCGUUCUCUCCCCCUAAGGGGGGUGUUACGCGUGGCGGCCUGCCGAAGUCCUCCCAUUAAAAACACGUUUUCGAACACGUCUGAAAUUUCCUUU
rnacentral:misc_RNA from 1 species